CAUCUAUGAAAUCGUUCAAGUACUUAUCCGAUACUGGGCGUAAGCGCGCGUAGGUGGUUCAGCAAGUUGGAUGUGAAAUCCCCGGGCUCAACCUGGGAACUGCAUCCAAAACUACUGAGCUAGAGUACGGUAGAGGGUGGUGGAAUUUCCUGUGUAGCGGUGAAAUGCGUAGAUAUAGGAAGGAACACCAGUGGCGAAGGCGACCACCUGGACUGAUACUGACACUGAGGUGCGAAAGCGUGGGGAGCAAACAGGAUUAGAUACCCCCGUAGUCCA
rnacentral:rRNA from 1 species